rnacentral:rRNA from 1 species
CCUACGGGAGGCAGCAGUGAGGAAUAUUGGUCAAUGGUCGGGAGACUGAACCAGCCAAGCCGCGUGAGGGAGGAAGGUACAGCGUAUCGUAAACCUCUUUUGUCAGGGAACAAAGACUGGGCCGCGUCCCCGGAUGAGUGUACCUGAAGAAAAAGCAUCGGCUAACUCCGUGCCAGCAGCCGCGGUAAUACGGAGGAUGCCAUGGUUAUCCGGAUUUAUUGGGUUAAAGGGGUUCGCAGACGGUCUGUUAAGUCAGCGGUCAAACCCCGGGGCUCAACCCCGGCCCGCCGUUGAAACUGGCAGUCUCGAGUUGGAGAGAAGUAUGCGGAAUGCGCGGUGUAGCGGUGAAAUGCAUAGAUAUCGCGCAGAACUCCGAUUGCGAAGGCAGCAUGCCGGCUCCACACUGACGCUGAGGCACGAAAGCGUGGGUAUCGAACAGGAUUAGAUACCCGUGUAGUC